rnacentral:rRNA from 1 species
GCAAUACGGAGCGGCAGACGGGAGAGUAACACGUGGGAACGUACCCUUCAGUACGGAACAACCAAGGGAAACUUUGGCUAAUACCGUAUACGUCCGUAAGGAGAAAGAUUUAUCGCUGAAGGAUCGGCCCGCGUCUGAUUAGCUUGUUGGUGAGGUAACGGCUCACCAAGGCUACGAUCAGUAGCUGGUCUGAGAGGAUGAUCAGCCUCACUGGGACUGAGACACGGCCCAGACUCCUACGGGAGGCAGCAGUGGGGAAUAUUGGACAAUGGGCGCAAGCCUGAUCCAGCCAUGCCGCGUGGGUGAUGAAGGCCCUAGGG